AGAACGAACGCUGGCGGCAGGCUUAACACAUGCAAGUCGAACGCGUGUAGCAAUACACGAGUGGCGCACGGGUGAGUAACGCGUGGAUAUCUGCCUUUUGGUUCGGAAUAACCCCGGGAAACUGGGGCUAAUACCGGAUAGUUCCUACGGGAUAAAGAUUUAUCGCCAAAAGAUGAGUCCGCGUACGAUUAGCUAGUUGGUGAGGUAAUGGCUCACCAAGGCGACGAUCGUUAGCUGGUCUGAGAGGACGAUCAGCCACACUGGGACUGAGACACGGCCCAGACUCCUACGGGAGGCAGCAGUGGGGAAUAUUGGACAAUGGGGGCAACCCUGAUCCAGCCAUGCCGCGUGAGUGAUGAAGGCCUUCGGGUUGUAAAGCUCUUUUGGCGGGUACGAUGAUGACGGUACCGCAGAAUAAGCCCGGCUAACUUCGUGCCAGCAGCCGC
rnacentral:rRNA from 1 species